AUCCAACUGACGAGUCUCAAAUAGGACGAAAUGCGCGUCCUGAAU
rnacentral:hammerhead_ribozyme from 1 species